CUUAGGAUCAGCUAAAGUCAAGCUUGAGGGGGAGUGUUAACUUGAAGAAAAGAAAUGGAGAAGGCAAAGGUGUGGAGUUGAGAUGUGGCUUGUACAAAGAUAGGGCAAGAGCUAUGGAGAAUGCCUAUCAAGAGUUAUGAAGUAUCUGAAGGUGUAGAGAAGUGAUCUGAUGGAUGUUCUAAGCAAGGGUAAAGUCUAGGAGAGACUUAGAAGAGUGUUGAGAAGCAAAUGGGCGAGUGUGCAAAGAUAGGGCGAGGCUGUACGGCCAUGUACGGAUCAGUACGGACGGUGGGGGAUUUCCCCUCUCCACUUCAUAAUGAAAUGUGUUCUUGAAUCAGAUUCCCUUUAAUCUCUCCCUUUCUUAUAAUCUUAAUCUCUCAAAGUCUCUUGUUUCUGAUUUAAGUAAACACAUAAACACUCCUAUAAACCCUCUCUCUAAAAUCACCUAAAACAAACUCUAAUCUUGUCAGCUUGCUCCAAUGGAGCUUAUACACACACACAACCUGAGAUCUCUGAAAAUCUCACAUGGUAUCAGAUCCAGGUUCAUCUGAAUCUGGUUGAAGCUUCCGCAAACCUCAGAGCUCACUACCAUGUCCAUUUCAACCAAGAAGAAGCUGUCUGUUCUAUCCGGCUGUUCAACACCUCAAGAGGCAGGCGUGUUCAUCCUGGAGUCCAGAAGCUGUCUGUUGCUGUUCCUCAUCAUCCCAUGUCGCCCUUGAAGAAAGAAGAUCCAAGGAAACAAAGGCAAUGGAGCGGAUUAGCUACCCUCUCUAACAAAGCCAGUUCCGGGUUCUUGCUAUUCAAAGUCCAAGAUGAAGCUUCUCAAGAAGAAAGCUUGCUGCUUGUACUGGUGUGGCGUGUAAAACAUGGAGAAAGGUGGGAGCUAAGACAUGGUGGUUCAAAAGGAAAGGUCCAUGGAAGAUGGAGGCGUUGGAGUGCACACUAACAACUCAGAAUCUGUCCAAUGGAAUCAAGGAUCUAUACAAAGGUCCUUGGCUGUAAGAAAGUUCUUUCCUUUUGUAUAAAGCUUGAGUAUAUUGACAGGUUGUGUUGUGGUGUUGUGAUUGAAAAAAAAACCUGAGGAUGUGUUAAGAUUGCUAAAUAAAUAAUUGUUUAGAAUCUGUCCCAGGAUGCUUAUUGAGUUGUGUUUGGUGACUGAGAGUUGUUGCUUGCAUACUGGUUCAUAAUGAUUGUCUUUUAGGAUGAUAGUAGUAAUAUCUAAACCUGAUUGCUUUCAUGAAAUGAAACCAAGUUUAAAUGUGAAGCGUUGAGUGUUGUUGCUGCCUUGUAUUGAUGCAUUGGAUUCAUGUCUAAGUUGCAGAUUAAGGAGCAUUAAAAUUGCCUAAGUAGCUUGUCUUGAAUCUUGAAGGGAUCUUGCUUGUGCUUAGAGAGUCUGCUUGCAAAGAUUAGAACUUGAAAAUGUCUAGUUUAAUCUGUUGAAUUGCUUAAAGACAUUGGUGUUCAAACUUGAUGAUGCAUCAAGGGUUGACCCAAUGCACUUGUGUCUUAUCUUUGCUGGAGUUUGAGUGAUGUUUCAGGUUCACAAGAGGUGUUCUUGUUUCACCAUCCAUCCGAGUUGAAAGAGGAAGACUUUGCCCAUUGUGUGGAGCAAUGGAGAGUUGAUAAAGAAGUGGUGAUGCGCCACUGGUGUGUAGUUUCACUGAAGCUCACUUGCAAGCUUGGACCUAUACUCAAUCCAAGCUUGAGGAGGGGAGUUUAGUGAGCUAUCAGUCGGACCAAGAAGGUCCAGAAGGUCCAUUGCAAGCAACUGAAGAAGAAGGAGCCAUCCGGGUCUAGGCAGUGGCGUGUCUAGGCAAGAGAGUGUUCAGAGCACUCUUGGCUGUGAGAAGAUGAAGACUCUACCAGUGCGGCUUCUAGUGUGAGGUGACUGAAGAGGUAGCUGAAGCUUCCACAAGCACUCCAUGAAGAUGGCGAGUUCAGAAGGUGUUGCAAUGGAGUAAUGGUGCAGAUCAUGAAGCUAUCCAUCCAAGCUUGUUCCUGUGAGAGUCUCAAGCUUUAGGGGGAGUGUUGAAGCUUACAUGAUCUGAGAGUACUUGGUGGUUAUUCAAGAAGAGGAACAGAUCAGUUAUGAAGCAUAAUGAAGGAUGAAGAAGCAAUCACCAAUGCGGCCUCUAAAGUGAGGUGAUUGGUACUACAGUCUGAAGCAUCCUGUCAUGAAGGUUUCAGUAACAUGGUGGUGACUCAUGAAGAAGAAGAAGCCAAGACUCAGCUUGUAUCUAUCAAGGAAGAUCUGGUAGUCCGAGCACUUGAUCACAACAAGAAGGUUGUGAGAAAGGGGGAGAGACCAAGAUCUGUCUAAAGAAGAGUACAAGAAGUGUUGAUGAUGAGCAAGAGGAGUGGGUUCUAUCUUGCAUCAAAUGAGGGCCAUGAUCCAGAGUCUUUGUGUCCCUUACAUUGCUGGUAAGGCACAAAGACUCACUGGCCAAUCCCUAGGCCUUGAAGGCUUUACUCUUUUUCCCUCAUCAAGGUUUUGUCCCAAAUGGUUUUCCUUGGUGAGGUUUUUAAUGAGGAAGUUCUUCAAGGUUCCAAGCUUGACUUAGGAUCAGCUAAAGUCAAGCUUGAGGGGGAGUGUUGACUUGAAGAAAAGAAAUGGAGUGGUGAAGUGUUGAGUUGAGAUUGAGUCUUGAGCAAGAAUAGGGCAAGACCUCCGGAGAUUAUCUAUGAAGACUUUAGGAGUGUUUGAAGGUGUCCAGAAGUGCUCAUAUGGCUGUGCAAAGAUAAGGCCAAGUCCAGGAGGGACUUAGAAGAGUGUUUGGGAGCAAAUGGGCAAGUGUGCAUACUUAGGGCGAGGCUGUACGGAUGGUACGGACCUGUACGGAUCCGUACGGACCGAGACAACCCGGGGAUACACAACUUGGCCAUUUGAGAUGUUUUGAGAUUGUGCAAAGUCCGGGACAAGAUGUGCAAAGUUAGGGCGUGAUCAGAACAUGUCAUGGAGGCUUUGUGCACACUUAGGGCUGAGUAAAAGGAGUCUGGUCGUGGAGCAUCAAAAGGGAAUCAAGGAGAUCCCUUGUGAAGGCAGGCGGCCAAUGAGAGCUGAGAUGGAGCUGAUUGGCUACUUUGGAGUAUGGACAGGCUGGCUGUAGCUGUAAAGUGAAAGACAGCCUUUACCAUGAACCUGAUCUGAAUAAGGGCUGGAUACAUGGGAGCCUAUAAGGAGCCAAUGGGAGAACAGCCUUCCCUUUGACCAGUUUGAAUAAACCAAUCAGAUAUCAACUAGCUCUCCUCCAAUCAAGACAGAUCACACAGAUUGCAAGACCAACUUUCCAUCCUAGCCAUCCAUUCAUUACAAGUUAAUAUUAUCCAUUAGAUUUAGGUUUCAGAUUGCCAUGAACCGCAAGUACAUGUCUUCAAGGCUUUGAUUUGAGCUGAGGUGAGAGCAAGUGAUUUGCGGAAGCUACAGCUCAGGUUCUGAUGAACCUGGCUCUGAUACCAUGUGAGAUUUAUAGAGUUCUCUUCUCUGGUUGUGUUUGUGUGUGUAUAAACUCCAAUGGAGAAAGAUUAGAGCUUACUCUAGGUGAUUUAGAAAGAGAUUGAUAAGAGUGUUUAUGAGAGAAUAAGAGACUUAGAACCAGAGAUUAAGAGACUGAGAGAUUAAGAGAAUAAGUGUUUAGAGAUUAGAGUUUCAGAUUCAAGAACUAGUUUUCAUUUCCAUGAAGUGGAGAGGGGAAAUCCCCCUUACUCCCUUAACCUUUACAAAUCGCCAACCUUAGGCUUAUAUAUGCCUUUACAAGAGUAAAUCAUAAACCUAAAUCUAAUGGCUGAUAAUACUUGAAGUUUAAAUGGAUGGUGUAGAUGAGCUGGUCUUGUUUGUCAUGAGGAGAAGGUGAUCUGAUUGAAAAGAAGAGGCUGGCGCCUCAUUGGCUCAUUCAAACUAGGCUGGCUCUUGAUUGGUUCUUCUUUGGCUCCUUUGUAUCAAGCUUGGAAUCAGUCUAGGUUCAUAGUCAAGGCUGCCUUUACUUUACAGCCAAGGCCAGCCUGUCUUGAACCUUAUCCACGCCCAAAGCUCCUCCAAGGGAUCUCCACUUGAUUCCCUUUUGAUGCCAUCUGAUCAGAACCUUAUCCAUUCGCCCAACACCUUUUCUUUAUGUCCCAAGCUUUGCACAACACCAUCAGGAGGUGUACGGAUCAAUCCCUAUCCGUACCCUUGCGCCCUAACUUUGCACAAAGCUUAAAACACCCAAAUGGUCGAGUCUGCACUUCUAGGGUAGUCCACCGUCCGUACUGAUCCGUACAUGGCCGUACAGCCUCGCCCUAUCUUUGCACACUCGCCCAUUUGCUUCUCAACACUCUUCUAAGUCUCUCCUAGACUUUACCCUUGCUUAGAACAUCCAUCAGAUCACUUCUCUACACCUUCAGAUACUUCAUAACUCUUGAUAGGCAUUCUCCAUAGCUCUUGCCCUAUCUUUGUACAAGCCACAUCUCAACUCCACACCUUUGCCUUCUCCAUUUCUUUUCUUCAAGUUAACAC
rnacentral:lncRNA from 1 species